AGAGUUUGAUCCUGGCUCAGGACGAACGCUGGCGGCAGGCCUAACACAUGCAAGUCGAGCGCCGUAGCAAUACGGAGCGGCAGACGGGAGAGUAACACGUGGGAACGUACCCUUUGGUUCGGAACAACCCAGGGAAACUUGGGCUAAUACCGGAUAAUCCCUCACGGGGAAAGAUUCAUCGCCGAAGGAUCGGCCCGCGU
rnacentral:rRNA from 1 species